UUGCUGGUUUAUAGAAACAAUUGGCACAAGUAGUUUAUGGAAACAAUUGUGGUUUUAUGAUUACUUUUCCAAUGUUUUUUCAUUUGUCAAAGUUUUUCUCUCUCUUCCCCCCCCCUCUCUCGUAAGCUCUCACUCUUUCUCCUCACACUUUCAUCUCUCAUUCUCCUCCCCCAUCUCAUCCUUCACCAUAACAUCCACACCACAGCCUCCACCACCAUCGACAAAUCAAUCACUCGUAAGGGUGAGGGAGUGGCCGAGUGAGAGAAGCCGGCGGGAGAGAAGUUCUGGCGAGGAGGAGGAGUUCCGGCCGAGAGAGUUCUUGUGGCCGUUUGUGGUGACACGGCGGUGCUUGGCAACGGCGGCAAUGAAGCUUCUUGCUCCUUCUUUCCUCUGGCUCCAUGGAAGGAUAAGGCUCCUCCAUGAAAUUUGAUCUUUGGAUGUUAAUAAACUCAGGUGACUAGAAAAAUCACUAUGACCACAAUAUCAGAAAGAGAUGAAUGAUGGUUGGGUUGGUUUGGAAAAGGCACCUGAUGGAUCUUUCAAGAAGAAGAUUCUGGGGUCAAUCUGGAAGGCUCCGCUCUAAAGUUGAGAAAGGAACUUUUGGACGAGGUAUUCCAUAGACCAAGCAGGAAAGGUGCAUGCAGAAUUAGUGUAGUAGACAAAGCCAAUGUGUAUGGAAAGGGAAGCAAUAAGAUAAAUUUUCGAGAAUCUGUUUCGUAUUGAAAAAAUGGAGCUAGAAUGGAGCAUUUUUGUUGAAAUGGAUUCAGGCCAGCAAAUAAAGCUGCAGGGAUGGCAUCUAGAGAUGGUGAUCUUGAUUUGAAUCUUUCACAGCCUAGGUCUGGACAGUUGUCUACCAGACAAAUUACAUCAAGUCCAGAAGCAAAACCUUUGGAUUUUGUGAUCCGCCCCCAGUCUAAAAUUGAUCCUGGUGAAAUUAGAGCACAUGCAAAACAAUAUGAAUAAGAAAUUGCAGCAGUUGAGGGCUCCAAAAAAGAAGCAGCUUCAAGCUACAAAGCUGAGUGUGGAAUGUCGUAGUAUGGUCAAAUACUUAUGAAUGCGGCUAAUAUUGCUUUUUAGGGGAGUGUGGAUAGGUAUUUAUGGUUACUACUAUUUUAUAAGGAUGACUACAUCACCAUUGCUACUUUUUAGGAAGUCUUGAGCAUCCAAUCCUAUAUUUUUGCAUAACUCCUUCACUAAUCCACGCAUAUUUUCUCAUUGAUCAAAUACACCAAUCUUCUAAUUUUCUUUUCUAUUCAUCUCCUCUGCGUUUUGUCUAUCCUAUCUCAACACUGUCUUCUUCUAACCCUUCAUUUUCCAUAUGGCAUCCUAUCUCACAUAAUUAAAUGACUAAUGGAAAAUUUAACAUGGAUAUAAGGAUCAGUGAUAUAGCUUCUUGACAAAAAGCUCAAAAGCAUUUUCAAUCCUCCAUAUCAUGAAUAUUCUUGCAAGAAUGUCUUAUCAUGAGUGAAUACAUUAUCUUAUAGCGUCUCAAUAUGAAUUAAUCAAGUAACAAGGUCACCAAUUUCUUAAUAUAACUCACCUCUUUUAUGAUGUUGAAUAUUGAUUCAAAUCUAACAACUUUAGUUACCUGCUGCAAGGGUUUAAUAUGAGCUCUUACAAGUCAUUAAUUAUUUUGGAUUGGGUCCCUUUUAUAUUUUCUUUUUUACAUGGUGUGCUAUUGAAUUGUUUGAUCUGUUGAUUCUAGAUCCUAUGGUAAGGCUGCUAUAAAAUGCUAUGGAAGUGUUAAUUAUGAAGGAGAGUAAGCUUAUAUCUGAUAUGCAUUUGAAUUCAUCACUUAAUGUCAUGUUUAUGCUCUAUUAUGUUUUCUAUUUGUCUCUUUGAUCUGUCAUCACUUAAUGUCAUGUCUAUUAUGCUCUAUUAUCUUAUGUUUGCUUAGAACAUGUUUGUUAUUGUUAUAACCAUAGCUAUCACUAAUUAGGUGCAUACUACUCUUAGAUGGAAUGAAAUAUUUGGUGAAAUUUGUGAAGGCAGUAGCUUUAUUCAUUAAUUUUUUUGGACUGUGUCCCUUUUAAAAUUUCUUUUCUACAUAGCGUGCUAUUGAAUUGUUUGAUCUAUUGAUUGAUUCUGUGGCGUAUGGUAAGGCUGCUAUAAAAUGAUAUGGAAGUGUUACUUAUGAAGGAGAGUAAUCUCCCAGUGUGAUAAUGAAGUUUGCACUCUGAUUGGUCCAUGCUUCAAAUCUUUGCAUAAGCACUAUCCAGGCAUCAAGUGGCAUGAUUGUAGAUGCAAAUGCAACGCAAGAUGAACUGAUAUAUACUCCUACUAUUGUACAGUUCAUCACCAAAUGGUUUUGGUCUGCGCAUUUUGAUGUUCCUUUGUUCAGUGACGAACACACAGUCGGUUUCAAGGCUUAUACUUUAUCUCCAUGUUCUCUACAGCAGAACAUCCCAACAAGUGAGUUUAAUUGUUAUUCAAUUUCUCCAUUUUCUUUCUUCUUUUUCUUCCGGUGUUUUUCUUCCUAAUUUUGCUUGUAUCAUUGUUGCUUUUCAUCUUUAGAGGGUAAUAUAAAAGUUCAGCUUCAGGAAAAAAAAGAUAAAGGAUUAAUCCGAAGUCCCUUAUUGCACAUUAAAUAUUGUAGUCUCUUACUUUAAAUUCAUGUCUAUCUUAAGAAUUAACAUUUCCGAAUUUCAAUAACCAGGGAUUAUGAGUGAACCUCCAAUUCCCUGUUUUAAAUUGUGUUUUUAUUUUAACAAAAGGAUGCAUCUAACACUUGAUAGUGGAAAAUGUAUUUCGCAUAGAAUGAAAAGGAUAGAUAUGGAUUGUAAAAUUUGAAAUUUCUAGAUUAUUUGAUGAUUUAUUUUCUAAUAUUUGCUGAGAUUGUGUUUUUUGCGGAUAAAUUAUGGAUUAGCUUGAAAGUUUUGAUCAUCUGUGUUAUAAGAGGUAGUUUCUCUUCUUCUAUCUCUUACAUCAUGAUCCUUAAUUCCAUGUGUUAACAAUGAAAGUUAAAAGUGGUUUUUCCAUGAUGUAGCUAUUGGGGGUUUGUUUUGUUUGUUUGGGAGAUUAGAGAUCUUCCAAUUAGAAACACACUAAUUAAGCAACUAAACCCCUUCUUAUUUUUUUUUUUUGUAAGCAACUUUUUAUUCCUUUUUUACUUGUACAUAUAAAUUUGGAACUCAUGUUGGCGAAUCAUAAUUGCUACUUUUUAGGGGAGGAGGGAUAGGUAUGUAUGGUUACUACUAUUUUAUAGGGAUGACUACAUCAUCAUUGAUACUUUUUAGGAAGUCUUGAGCAUCCAAUCCUAUAUUUUUGAAUAACUCUGUUGGGCAUAAAUUUGCACGUAAACAAACUCCUUCACUAAUACACACAUAUUUUCUAAUUGAUCAAAUACACCACUCUUCUAAUUUUCUUUUCUAUUCAUCUCCUCUUAAAUAAAUAAAGGGUUAGAAGAAGAUAAUUUUGACAUGUUGAGUGUUGAAGUAAUUGACUUUUUCUUAACGGAAAAUUGAUUGGUAUUUGAUUAUAUUUUAUCUUCUUAUGUUUUUUUUUUUUGCACUUGAAUUGCAGAGUAUUAUAGUAUGGGGAAAUAUUGGUGGUGUUUGAUAUAGGUUACCUGGUUAUGCCUUUUUUCCUUUUUAAAUGCUAGAGGUAAAAAGAUUCUAACUUCUGCAUUAAUUUUCUCUGAUUAUGUCUCUUUGUGAUAUUUCAAUUAAUGGAAUUUCUUUAGUUUUGUUUGGUCGGUGGAAUGAGAUUUUUAUUGAGCAUGGCUUAAGUGAUGGGGAUUGAAACAUAAAUGAAAAACUUCUAUAUACACCAUGCAUGUUCUCAUUUAAACUAAUGAGGUGAAAAGUACAAGCAAUACUAAUGAGGGAACUUUAGAUUGUAGGAUAUGAUAGAAGAUUAUCAAUUUGGUUUGGGGCCUUAGAUCUAUAUGCGACAUGAUUUCCUAAAGAGGGAGGGACCUGGAGUUUGAAGUUAUCAACCAAAUUAAUGGAAAAAAGUAGCUGUGAUUAUUUUUGAAUUAUUGUUUAGAGGAAGAGAGAAAUAGAUUGAGUCUAUGUAUUGAUGUUUUUCUUUAAAGUAUAUCCUAAUGUACUCUUGCAUCCUUAUUGUGCAUUGAAACUUUUUUUUUCUUCAUAUUGUCAUGAUAAUGAUAAUUUAUGUGGUUGUUUUUGUAAAUUGAAUUUGGCUUCAUAUGAUAUAAUGAGAUUGGCCUAGAAAAGGCUUAUACA